GAUAUUUCUGCUCUCUAGCAAGGUAGGAUUAAAUAGUACCACAAGCAACACGGUUGAGAAUCUUCCAAUCUUCUUCUGCAAUAACAUCUGGUUUCUUUUCUUCAUGUAUGACUAUUUCUGCUCUCUAGCAAGGUAGGAUUGAAUGGUACCGCAAGCAACACGGUUGAGAAUCUUCCAAUCUUCUUCUCCAAUAACAUCUGGUUUCUUUUCUUCAAUGGCUAGAUCUAGCCCUUGUUGAAAAAGGACAUCUAGAACCUCACCUUGCCACAUCCCAAAAUGUCCGGACCCGUCAAAAAUUUCUACCGCAAAUUUCGCAUUUGACACAAUUCUUUUCAUAAGCGAAGAAGUCAAUGAUGACGUAUUGCUGACACUUGAUGUAGAUUCUUCUUGUUUAUUG
rnacentral:lncRNA from 1 species